CAGCCGUUUAGAAGGAGUACAGUGACAAAUACACGCACAGAAGAAAUAUGUAUAUAAAGACUAUGUUAGAACAAAGAAUUUAUAUCGAUUUCUUUGACGUCAUAACGCCAACAGUCGGCAACCGGAAACUUGAACGGCUUUCGGAACGUAGCUACGCAUGCCUGACCUAAUCCAAAUUGAAUGAAGACCAGCAGAUAAGAGAAGAGCAUAGCAGCGAUCUUCUGUUUGUACGAUAUCUGAUGAUGUUGUUGAUUUGUAGAAUGAUAUUAUACUAUUAAACUGAUCUGUUUCAAAGGCAA